UGUGGAUUCGAUCCUGUAAGAUACUACAACGCCUGUAUACUUGCAGGUAAAACUGCACUAGAUUUUUGAUUCAUUAAUUUGAGUCAAAGUUUAGUCGCAACACUGAGGUGGUGGCCUCAUGGUGGUGCCGAGGUGGCACACAUCGAAGACACGAUGGCUCUUAGAGGAGCUUGGGUCGUGGGUCUCAAACAAGAGAAAUGGAGGGGGAGCUUGGUUGGCCAUGGUGGGGCAUGGAAGUGCUAAAGGAGGUACUAAGAGACAGGUGAUGGCAUCUGGGAGGCGUACAGUGGUGCUACGACAGCAGAUCUAGCCGUGCAUGAGAGAGAAGUUAUGGGAGAGUGGAGGAGAAUGGGGGAGAUGGGGGGUUCAGCUGGGCCAUGGCUAGGCAUGGGAGUGGUCAUCGGUGAAAGGGGGUGCUACUGGUGGUGGUGCAGUUGCAUGGGUGGCAGCACACAAUGGCGCAAGGAGGAGAAACCUAUGGUUUUCGUGCAUGUGUGCGUGGGUUUAGGGAGGAGCUAUGGGCUUUCGGUUAAGGGGAAGGAGGAAAAAGGUGGUCGUGGUGGUGCUCAGUGGGGUUGGAGGCUAAGGAUAGUGGCCCAAGGCUGUGAGAGAGGAAGAAACCCAUGGGUGAAACCCAUUUCGGGUUAGGCUACAAUGGGAAGAGAAAGGCUCGUGAUGGCUUGGGUCUGGUAGGUAGGUGGUCACUGGACUAAGGGGAGCUAUUGGUGGCCAGCGAUGAGGCUGGUGAGCUAAGAGAAAGAAUAGGCUAGGGGGAGGAGGGGUGCACGCGUAAGCUGAAGGGAGAGGGAGGAGAGAGAGAGAGAAAGAGAGGAAAUGGUGGGAAAAGCUAGGGGUCUUGGGAUUUUAAUCCCAACCCUUCAUCUUAGGGUCUUUAAAACGAUCUAACGAUGGGUUUUAAAUACUGAUUUGAAAAUGCGUAAAUAUUGAUUUAAUUGAAAACACUGAGAGGAAUUAAGAUAGAAUACAAUUUAAACUAAAAUCUAGCUUAUAAAAUAUAAUCUUUCAUCACUAAUUAACUGAUGAAGUUUUGUUAAUUACUUUUAAGAGAACAAAAUCAUUUAAUUAAUUAGAGUUUUCAACAUAAUUUGAAUCUUAUAAUAUUUUUAAAUGACUAAAAUCAUUUAAUUAAAAUGAUUUUCUACAAUUAUAAUAUUUUGGAGCUCUUUAAGAAUAUUAUAAUUGUCUUACUUAAAAUCAGGUUUCAUCCAAUAAUAUUGGAAACAUCCCAUAUAAAUAUUUUCAAGACAUUUCAAGUAUUCGAGGGCUUUAAAACACUAGUUUAGUUUAGAAAUCGCUUGAUAUCUUUAAAAGUAAGCCAUCGAAGUUUGGCACGUCGAAUGAGACUCGUGACCAUCAUAGAGAGAAAGGAGAGGGUUGUUACAAUUUGUGAGCAUGAGUUUAUUCGUAUUUGAUAUUGUGCUCAUAUCAUCAACCUCGUAGUUGUUGAGGGGUUGUAGGAGGUUGAUGAUUCCAUUACUAAAGUCUGCAACCUUGUGAGAUAUGUGAGGGCUUUCCCCUAAAGGUUUAGCAAGUUUAACUAUAGCCGAUCAGCAUGAGAUCUCGUCUUCUAGUAUGUUGAGCUUGGACGUUCCAACUUGAUAGAACUUUACAUACACGAUGUUGAAUGUAUGGUAGAAGUACCAAAGAGUGUUCGAGCAAAUGGAGGUCUAGGAAGGGGGCUUGAGGUAUGCAUUGUUGGAGUCAAUAGGGGGAGAAGGGGGCUCGAUGCACCGGAUACAAUUGAUUGGGCCAAUGUGAGGUGCUUUGUUCAAUUUUUGAAUUUAUUUCAUGACAUAACUAUGCGCAUAUCUAGUUUCAAAUAUUGCACAACAUCUAGUUUCAAUUUUUGAAUUUAUUUCAUGACAUAACUAUGCUCAUAUCUAGUUUCAAAUAUUGCACAACAUGUACUUCGAGGAGUUCUUGGGGGCUUUAUGACCAUUUCAACAUGGCUGUAUUGACACUGUCAGAUUGUUGAAUGGUAUAGCUAUGAGGAAGAAAUCUAAAUAUAAUAAAUAUUGUGGGGAUGUUAAGAAGAUAAAUAGAUUACUAUUUGUGACUGAUAUUCUUAAUUCCCGAUAUAAGUUGAUUAUUGUACAACUUUGGAUUAAGGAUGUCCCCGGUGGAAUGUUAGAAGUAUGAUUAGUCUAUUAGAGAGUUGAAAAGUGAUAUUGAUAACUAAUAUAGCCAAUACAACAGCAGUUAUUAAUCUUCAAUUGAAGGUGGUAGCUCCUCAUGCCCAACCUGCUCAACAUCUUCCUUAGAUGACAUACAUAUACAGAGUUCAUCUAUUUUGAUGCGACAAUAUCAUCAAAUCCAUACAUUGAGGAAUAUUAUGCAGUGUAAGUCUAAGAUUGAGUGUUAUUUUAUGAAAGAUGUCGAGGCACCUUCUAAUGCAUUUCAUAUAUUAACUUGGUCGAAUCAAGUUUCCAAUUCUUUCCCAAAUAGCCCAAGAUGUGCUAGUCAUUCAUUUAAAUCAGUGUUUAGCACUAGAGGUCACAUGUUGGAUGCUUAUCGGACUUCAUUGGCUCCAACCACCGUAAAGGCCCUCGUUUGCACACAAAAUUGGCUAAGUCCAAUGCCCAUUGGAUUAAAUAUCGUUGAUGCCAAGAGCUAUAGACCUAGCUGUGAACCACAAAAUAAUUGCAAUUGAUUGAGACGAGUACACCAUGGGAUGCUGAACCCCCUUUAUUGGUGAGAAAUGAAAUACCAUUAGCAAAAAAGCCUUGUUUGUUUUUGUUAGUUCAAAAUAAUGUUUUAGUUCUAAGUUUUUUUAAUUUCCAAACCAAUGUGGGGAUGCUUGGAAUUGGAGGUUGAUUGUGCUGAGAAAUUGAAAAUUAUUGUCAAUAUGUAAUCACUAAUUUGUAGUUUUUUUGUUUUAUAAUGAUACAUUAUUACAUUGUAAAUUGGUUGAGUACUUUGGUGAAGUUGGUUAGGAUUGGUUUUGAUUGUGGUAGACGGGUAGUUGUUUGGUGUUGAUUGUGAUUGUAAUUAUGGUGGUUGAUAGGUUGUGAACUUGUGAUUGUGGAGGUUGUUGUUUGGUUGUGGUUGUAAUUGUACUAGUUGUUUGGGGGGUUCCCUUGCA